rnacentral:rRNA from 1 species
AACUGCGACCCCAGGUCAGGGCGG